GAUGAACGCUGGCGGCGUGCCUAAUACAUGCAAGUCGAGCGAACAGACGAGGAGCUUGCUCCUCUGACGUUAGCGGCGGACGGGUGAGUAACACGUGGAUAACCUACCUAUAAGACUGGGAUAACUUCGGGAAACCGGAGCUAAUACCGGAUAAUAUAUUGAACCGCAUGGUUCAAUAGUGAAAGACGGUUUUGCUGUCACUUAUAGAUGGAUCCGCGCCGCAUUAGCUAGUUGGUAAGGUAACGGCUUACCAAGGCAACGAUGCGUAGCCGACCUGAGAGGGUGUUCGGCACCCCUGGACUUGAGACCCGUGCCAGACUCCUCGGGGAGGAAGCGGUAGGGAUUCUUCCGAACUGGGCGAAAGCCUGCCGGGGAACCGCGGCGUGAGUGAUGAAGGUCUUCGAUUCGUAAACCUCUGUUAUUGGGGAAGAACAAAUGUGUAGGUAACGAUGCCCGUCUUGCCGGUACCUAAUAAGAAGGCACCGGCUAACUCCGU
rnacentral:rRNA from 1 species